GUCAGAAUGGCCGAGCGGUCUAAGGCGCCACACUCAAGGUUGUGCACUUUCUCCAAAACAGAGAGAUUUCUGGUCUCCGAAUGGAGGCGUUGGGUUCAAAUCCCACUUCUGACA
rnacentral:tRNA from 1 species